rnacentral:tRNA from 1 species
GGCGGAUGUAGCCAAGUGGAUUAAGGCAA